GUAUAUCAAAUUGACAACACAAUAUAUGCAGAUGUUAUGGGCAGUACAAGAAAUAAAGAUACAAGAGGGACAGUGGAUGACCUGGCUGACCCAAGACUGAACAAGCCGCAGACUCUGUAUGACGAGAUCAAAGUUGGACGCCCAAAAGCGCCCUCUUCUGCCUACCAGGAAGUACUCGUGAGCUGAGCAGGAUGUGUUCAUAGGAUGGGCCUUAUAUCUCUGCAUCCAAUGCUACAUACAGUCUGUAGAUGGAUGUUACUGUUACAUUUUAUCACGACUUGCACAUUUCUGACAUUUGUUGCUUAUUUUUUUCAUGAUUGCAAUCUUCCCUUUAUUGUUCCUCAUAUAUCCAGGCUGCAUCUCAUCCGGAUGUGAU